rnacentral:rRNA from 1 species
AUUGGUCCAGUGGCAAACGGGUGCGUAACACGUGAGCAAUCUGCCGGGAAGUGGGGGACAGCUCGCCGAAAGGCGAAUUAAUACCGCAUAUGGCCAGGAAGGACAUCCUUCCGACGCCAAAGUCGCAAGACGCUUCCUGAUGAGCUCGCGGCCUAUCAGCUUGUUGGUGAGGUAACGGCUCACCAAGGCUAUGACGGGUAGCUGGUCUGAGAGGACGACCAGUCACACUGGAACUGAGACACGGUCCAGACACCUACGGGUGGCAGCAGUCGAGAAUUUUUCACAAUGGGGGAAACCCUGAUGGAGCGACGCCGCGUGGAGGACGAAGGCCUUCGGGUCGUAAACUCCUGUCAUGCGGGAACAAGAAAGUGAUAGUACCGCAAGAGGAAGAGACGGCUAACUCUGUGCCAGCAGCCGCGGUAAUACAGAGGUCUCAAGCGUUGUUCGGAUUCAUUGGGCGUAAAGGGUGCGCAGGCGGCGUGGAAAGUUGAGUGUGAAAUCCUGGGGCUUAACCUCAG